GCCUGGGUGGCUCAGUCGGUUGGGCGUCUGACUUUGGCUCAGGUCAUGAUCUCACGGUCCGUGAGUUCGAGCCCCACAUCGGGCU
rnacentral:tRNA from 1 species